AAUUAUCGAUAUAGUCUCCUUGUUUUAACUAUUGUUGGGAGUUUGGAAGCUGUCACCCAUGUUGUACUGUAUGCAUGUUUGCAUGUGUGACAUUAUUUUCGGUUACCUUGCGAGUUAUAGCGAAAGAAACUACCUGGCAGCCCAUAACGGGCAGCUAGCUAAUUUAUGCUAGGUGACAACAGCUGGUUCAUUAACGUUGUAUUAGUUCUAUGCAUUGACGUUGCGAGACCCGCGUGCGUCUGAUUUCAAAUGUAUCCAGGACAGUCGUAGAUACCAUCAGUAGCUCUACACACAUCAAUGACACAGGGGAAGUAAAGUUACCGCUGAUUUUUGGUAUUGCUCCGUCUGACUGUGUGUGUACGGCCACAGUAAAUGUUGAUUAGCCGGUGGAACUUUUCGGUUUGAAAAAAGACGAGACGUGAGACUGCGUGACAGAGGGGGCUGUGUGUGCUUGUGUAUGGUUGCGCGUUUGAAUGGGUGCGUCGUGUGUAGAACUAGAUGCUGCAGUUUGCAGCUGCUUUGAUUCAUGUCGUGGGUCACUUACCAAUGUAUGUAGGCCUAAUUGGCUAUGACCUUUGAAAUAGUUGAAAGUAAAUCCCAGUAGUAUCUAGUGAAACACACAUGCAAACGCCCUUCUGUCCCUCAUUCCCUCAAACUCGAUCUUCUACAUUUGUUGUGUAAAAAGGACAUAGCAAGUUUUUUGUAUCAAUGAUCACUUUAGGAUAUUCCAGUGCAUUUACAUUCAAUAUAUACUGUACCUUGAGUGAGGUAGAAAUGCAUAUUGUUGCAAAUAUAAAUACUGUUAAUUUGUUAUUUUUUGUAAUUAAUCAUUUACUGAAUUUCUUUGUAGAAUAUGUUACUAUUAUUUGGGUUUGUGUUCUCUGCAUAACUGUCUCUUUCACCUAUAUUAAUUCCUCAGCAUUCAAGAUGUUUGUAGGGUCCUCACCUCAGCUACCUCUCACAAUGUGCCCCUGAAAAAGAAAUUCAAGACGUUUGGGUCCUCAGCUCAACUGACCAAGACCUUUGCUCAUUGAAGGCAUGAAGUAAUUUGUGAUGCCCCCACGAUUGCAGUUUUUAAAUCCAGAUGGCUUGCUCUUUUUAACAUGUGCAAGAGCUGGAUGGUCUUUCAACAACACUGCUCCGGGUCUUCAGCAAGAAAGGUGCUUCUCAUGCAAGGAAGAUACAGAGGAUCCUGGUGCCCAUGACUCAGUUCUAACUACAGCUGGCUUUACACACAUCAGUCCUGGGCAAUGAUAUAACAGUCUUUUGCAGACUGACAACAUUGAUGUGAAGAGGGAGUGCAUGCUGAGGAGCUGACGGUCUACCUGAAUGAAGAGCCAGACAAAGUGGAUGUUGAUCUGGACGGUCCAGCUGAAACGUAUUGUCUUCGUGUGCGUGUGAUCGGCAGAGAGUCCUCAACGACAUUGGUAAUGUACCUGUGGCCAUUGCAGUGUUUGUUUUGGUUUAUGCUCUUAAUCUCUGUUACCUUCCAGAAUGGAAGUACACUUUCAAAUUUCUGUUUCAUUCUAACCGUCUGUUUCAUCAGUUUUUGCACUGCUUUUAAAUGUACACUGUGUAAGAUUCUUAGUUGUUUAUUUCCAGAAUUCAUGCUACCCAUUCACUAAUGUUACCUUUUUCAUGAAUACUUAGCACCACCAUUAGGGUGCAUCAGUUGCCCCCUAUGAAAAGAU